rnacentral:lncRNA from 1 species
ACGCAUCACGUACAUUUGAGCGGAACACAUCUGCCAAGAACAUACAGGACGAAGCAUUCAUUCUUUCAGAGCAUGGAGAAACACACACUGCGCAAUGAUGUACUACUGUUUCUCUCGUUGCUACUCUUUAUCGGAUCCUUUUCCAUUCAUGCGGAAUGUAAGUGACAUAAAUAAAAAUAUAGUUGCUAUCUCUACAAUCUGUUAGGUCUUGUUUAGUUACAGUCAAAUUUGCAUAAAUCCACAUAUAUUGUAGUGAAUUAGAGUGAAACUUAAAUUAAAUUCUACCUCAACACAUGUGGAUGAAAGGUGAAUACUAUAACGUCUAAACAAAGACCUAAUUUUCUUUCUUGUAAGAUUAACCAAGAGGGACACUGAUUUAUGUAUAGAUGAUGUUGGUUUAAUUUUACGCUUGUUCUAGGGCCAUUAAUUCUGUGUAUUUAUGCAUGUACUGAACAUAUUUUCUUUUCCCGUGUGAAAAAUAGGCCGAGCUGUCAAAAUGGAUAAAAAGAUUGUUCCUGCACAUGGACAAUGCAUCUAUACUGUUUGCCAGGGACCAUAUUCUGACCCUAAGUGCUAUUGCUGUGUCCAUAAAGUCCAUAAUAAAACUCCUUGCUCUGUCUUUAAAAGUGAGUGCCAACUAUUGUGCCCCACAAGAUCAAUUUAAUAUUACUUGAAAUAAUGUAAAGAGUAUAAUUCCUAUGUGGAAGUUGCGUAUGAACAAUAGGAAUUAAAUGAAUAAAAACGCAGUGCAACGUGUUGCUGCUUUCUUU